GCGGGCUUAGCUCAGUUGGUUAGAGCAUCAGGUUGUGGUUCUGAGGGUCGUGGGUUCGAUUCCCAUAGCUCGCC
rnacentral:tRNA from 1 species